rnacentral:rRNA from 1 species
AUAAGUAAUGUGAAUUGCAGAAUUCAGUGAAUCAUCGAAUCUUUGAACGCACCUUGCGCUCCUUGGUAUUCCGAGGAGCAUGCCUGUUUGAGUGUCAUUA